rnacentral:rRNA from 1 species
GCCUAAUACAUGCAAGUCGAGCGAACGGACGAGAUUCUUGCUUCUCUGAUGUUAGCGGCGGACGGGUGAGUAACACGUGGAUAACCUACCUAUAAGACUGGGAUAACUUCGGGAAACCGGAGCUAAUACCGGAUAAUAUUUUGAACCGCAUGGUUCAAAAGUGAAAGACGGUCUUGCUGUCACUUAUAGAUGGAUCCGCGCUGCAUUAGCUAGUUGGUAAGGUAACGGCUUACCAAGGCAACGAUGCAUAGCCGACCUGAGAGGGUGAUCGGCCACACUGGAACUGAGACACGGUCCAGACUCCUACGGGAGGCAGCAGUAGGGAAUCUUCCGCAAUGGGCGAAAGCCUGACGGAGCAACGCCGCGUGAGUGAUGAAGGUCUUCGGAUCGUAAAACUCUGUUAUUAGGGAAGAACAUAUGUGUAAGUAACUGUGCACAUCUUGACGGUACCUAAUCAGAAAGCCACGGCUAACUACGUGCCAGCAGCCGCGGUAAUACGUAGGUGGCAAGCGUUAUCCGGAAUUAUUGGGCGUAAAGCGCGCGUAGGCGGUUUUUUAAGUCUGAUGUGAAAGCCCACGGCUCAACCGUGGAGGGUCAUUGGAAACUGGAAAACUUGAGUGCAGAAGAGGAAAGUGGAAUUCCAUGUGUAGCGGUGAAAUGCGCAGAGAUAUGGAGGAACACCAGUGGCGAAGGCGACUUUCUGGUCUGUAACUGACGCUGAUGUGCGAAAGCGUGGGGAUCAAACAGGAUUAGAUACCCUGGUAGUCCACGCCAUAAACGAUGAGUGCUAAGUGUUAGGGGGUUUCCGCCCCUUAGUGCUGCAGCUAACGCAUUAAGCACUCCGCCUGGGGAGUACGACCGCAAGGUUGAAACUCAAAGGAAUUGACGGGGACCCGCACAAGCGGUGGAGCAUGUGGUUUAAUUCGAAGCAACGCGAAGAACCUUACCAAAUCUUGACAUCCUUUGACAACUCUAGAGAUAGAGCCUUCCCCUUCGGGGGACAAAGUGACAGGUGGUGCAUGGUUGUCGUCAGCUCGUGUCGUGAGAUGUUGGGUUAAGUCCCGCAACGAGCGCAACCCUUAAGCUUAGUUGCCAUCAUUAAGUUGGGCACUCUAAGUUGACUGCCGGUGACAAACCGGAGGAAGGUGGGGAUGACGUCAAAUCAUCAUGCCCCUUAUGAUUUAGGCUACACACGUGCUACAAUGGACAAUACAAAGGGCAGCGAAACCGCGAGGUCAAGCAAAUCCCAUAAAGUUGUUCUCAGUUCGGAUUGUAGUCUGCAACUCGACUACAUGAAGCUGGAAUCGCUAGUAAUCGUAGAUCAGCAUGCUACGGUGAAUACGUUCCCGGGUCUUGUACACACCGCCCGUCACACCACGAGAGUUUGUAACACCCGAAGCCGGUGGAGUAACCUUUUAGGAGCUAGCCGUCGAAGGUGGGACAAAUGAUUGGGGUGAAAU